UACGGAGGGUGCGAGCGUUGUCCGGAAUCACUGGGCGUAAAGGGCGCGUAGGCGGCCUGAUAAGUAGGGGGUGAAAUCCUGCGGCUUAACCGCAGGGCUGCCUUCUAAACUGUCAGGCUAGAGCACAGUAGAGGCAGGUGGAAUUCCCGGUGUAGCGGUGAAAUGCGCAGAUAUCGGGAAGAACACCCGUGGCGAAGGCGGCUACUCUGGAACGCAACUGACGCUGAGACGCGAAAGCG
rnacentral:rRNA from 1 species